UACGUAGGCAGCGAGCGUUGUUCGGAGUUACUGGGCGUAAAGCGCACGUAGGCGGCUUUUUAAGUCAGGGGUGAAAUCCUGGAGCUCAACUCCAGAACUGCCUUUGAUACUGAGAAGCUUGAGUCCGGGAGAGGUGAGUGGAACUGCGAGUGUAGAGGUGAAAUUCGUAGAUAUUCGCAAGGACACCAGUGGCGAAGGCGGCUCACUGGCCCGGUACUGACGCUGAGGUGCGAAAGCGUGGGGAGCAAACAGG
rnacentral:rRNA from 1 species